GAUGGUUCGAUUAGUCUUUCGCCCCUAUACCCAGUUCAUACGAUCGAUUUGCACGUCAGAAUCGCUACGGACCUCCAUCAGGGUUUCCCCUGACUUCAUCCUGACCAGGCAUAGUUCACCAUCUUUCGGGUCCCAGCGUGUACGCUCUUGGUGCGCCGCAACUUGCAAUAAGUACGCGACGCCCCGGGAAUGCGAGGUAACAUAAAUAACGUUACCCAUCUUCCCUUUAUAAUAAUAAUUAUAAAAAUUAUAUAUAUAUUUACUUUCAUUACGCCUUUAGGUUUAUUAUAAAUACCCAAUGACUUGCGCACAUGCUAG
rnacentral:rRNA from 1 species